GUUAGUUUAUAAAUACAGACACGCGCACUGUUCGGCCUUUCAGUCCACUGGAAACAUGAGGGCAGCGUGGAGGUACCGCUGUCAGUAUGAACCUGAUCCUGGAUGUGUUAUCAUGGAAGCCCCCUGCUGAACAAACAAGACCACCAUGAUGAGUCUUUGUUCCUGGCUGUACUGGCCUUAGAGGAAACAUGGUGGUUCUGAUGACAGAACCUGUGAAGCAGCAUGAGAAGCAGCAGCGGGCCCAUUUUGGGCGGUACCUCCUGAAGUUGGAGCUGGUAAUGAACAGGUUGUUCCAGCUGAAGGAAGUCAUGUCAGGAUGGCUGCUCAGUCCAAGGCUGAGGAUUCAACUGCAUUUCAGAUAUAAAUACUACACUAAGGGUUUUCACUAAAAGAUAAAAUAAAAAUUAAAACAGGAAAGGCUGUCAGCAGGGGUGCCAGUCGUUUACUGUUUUUACAGAACAUUUACUGCUCUUUAUAUUAACAGUAUAUUACUGUAAAUUGGAUUACAAUAAAAUAGUAAAUGACUUACACUAGA